rnacentral:misc_RNA from 1 species
UUUAGUUGUAUAUCUUAGUUUUAACUAUAUUUUUGAUCAUGAACUUUACCAAUUUUUCUAAAAAAUUUGCGUAGUGACAAGCCGUUACCAUUACAUGCACGUUGCAAGCCCGUUUCUGUUACUCGACUCUUGAGUUGUCUCUAGAUAUGAUAUGCUAUUAUGUUCAGUAAUAGCCUCACUGUAGAAAGUUGUUCUGAAUGUGCUACUUGAGGAAGACUGAGGGAUGUUUUAGGUACUCAAGUAAAGUUAUAUUGUAAUUCCUUGGAAAUCAGUUGAGUAGGCUUAACUCAGUAGAGAGACAGUUGCCCAUGCAUGCAUGUGCACACAUUGUGUCUUAAUAGGCCUGAAGCUCUCAUUUACAUUAAACAUUAGUGCAAAAUUUUUUUAAUUGAAUAAUCAUUUUGCUAUAUAUGCAUUUCUGUGGUAUUUUUCUCUGCAUUUGGACUCAAGUUCAGGAAUAAGGUUUACUAUUGCCGAGUGUAAAGGUUCAGAAUCUUGCUAACCACCUUCAUCCCAUGAUUUUUUGAUCUUUGCUUGCAACUUAAUUACUGUAAUUAUUAAUAGGGCUAACUAUCUAAUAUUUGCUAAAAUUUUCAUGUUUUUUCUAUUGUAUUCUGUGAUUCAACUUUAUUAAUUUGUUCAUAAACUUACUGAUUUUGUUUUAAUUGUUUAUCCAUUAGAUUUGAUACAUGUGCACAUGCCAACAUUUUAUUGAGAUGGAGGGCAAAAAGGUGUGUAACUUGUUGAUUUGGAAGAAAUAGGCCCCUCCUGAGCCUUGAGAGCCAUUAAAUGGUGGCAUCUGCUAAUUUCUCCUCCACUAUAAAGCUGCGUAAAAUGCUUUUUGAGAUUCAUAGUUUGUGAAACCCCAUCAUUUUAAUGGCAUUUGGAGUUAAGGGUCAACAAAAUGCUUGCAUGUGCACACCCUAGGCCCAUUGGAUAUAACUACAAAAAAUGAGAAAUUCACCAACCAAAUAGAUGGAAUUAAAAUUAUUGUACAUAAUUGAAAAGGUGAAUAAAGUUACGAAUAUAUUAGACCAUUAGCCCUUAUUAUUAUUAUUAUUAUUUGCUUUCUCUAUAGUGAAAUUCAUGAAGAGUUUUUUGUUUCUUUUCCUUUUUCUGAGACCUUACCUGAAUUAUUAACUAAGCAAUUGAAGAGUUUUACUAUGAGAUGACCUUCCAAACUUUUGUUCUUAUUGUAUUUCUUCUCAUGUAGCUGCAAAUUUGAAAUCCUAUUUUUUGCUAUAAUUUGGUAUGUUUUUUCUGAAGAAUACCUUGCAUUUGAAGUCUAUAAUGCAUCUUAGUGUUUUACUUUCAUCUUACCAUUUUGGAAUGUCCAAAGUGCUUGCCACACUACUUUCUAAAGUUUAUUUCUUCAUUAACUUUAAGUUGAAUUCAGUGAACAAGGGCCUGAAUGGAAAAUUCUGGAGAUUUAGACAUUUUGUUAUAAAUGCGAGUACAUCCAUUGCAUGUUGAAUGUUUCCUUAAAAAAUAAUGUUCAAGAGGGAUAAAAAAAUUUGGGAUGGGCAAUGUAUUAGAUGGAGUUAGG